rnacentral:tRNA from 1 species
GCGGUCAUCGUGUAAUGGCUAUUACCUCAGCCUUCCAAGCUGAAGAUGUGGGUUCGAUUCCCGCUGGCCGCUCCA